UUAUUCUGAAGACCCCGGGAGUCGUCGCGGAAUUCUCUGAAGCCCCGAACCAAGGUUCGGAAGAUAUUAAUUUGACUAACCCCAGCCCCACCAGCGAAGGCAAGCCCCGGACAUAACCCCUACUUUAUUUACACUGCCAUUAUUAUCUAUAUAUAUAUAUAUCUUUAUGCAUUAAGUUCUUAGGAGUUGUUGGAAACCUUAGUUGCAUAAUUCCAGGAACCUAUGUAUUGAACACUAGAACUUGAGUCCGAAUAGCUGCUCUGCUUAUAGGACCGGUAGAAGUCGAGUGAUUUUCUGUCACUCGCGCGAUAUAGGAAUUGUAAUAUUUACAUUCCGCAAUCAGUAUAAGGAUGACGGACAAGAAUUAUGUGAGGUAUCAUGGUUGAGGUGAUACCCCGUCUGUGUUGUUGAACUGGAUAAGGCCGCAGUGUGUGGUAGCGGUGGUUAAGCGUUUGAAAGUACUAGCCACAUGCCGUGAAAUAUGGUAAGCGGUAAGUAAAGUAACCAAUCGGCCCGAGGAGUGGACAUACCCCCCACCACAUGUAUUUGGUUAUUUUGGUUACUUUGUUCGACGUGUAGGAAUACGUGUUGCUGGGCAACCAGGAGUACGGGUUUUGUAGUCGCGCUACAGACGUACGUCCUGCACUUUGGAAGUGCGUAUGGUCCUGCAGUCGCUUGUGGUGGCCCUGAUCCACGAGUCGGAAUGAAAGGCAAACGGUUGCUUCGGAACGACCCUUUGGUGUUCCAAGCGUGUGUGUUAGGUUUAUCCUUGCAAGGUUUUGAAAUUCGAUUCAGGAAUCGUCCGUUUCUCGCGGAGAUUGAGACUGCUUAAUCCCUUUGCCACAUAGAGUAAUAAGAGCAACUUUGUGAUUAUGAAAGAUGAUGUUUGAUUAAAGAUUCUACCAUGUUUGAGUAGUUCUAGGUGCUUACCUAGACUGGUUAAUCAACUAAAAGUUGAAAAUAAAGAUCUACUCUUUGUUGCUUUUCAGCUGAAAACUCUACCCAAAACCUGAAAAGCCUGCAUAAGUCUAGAUACAUGGCUAAGUAUACCAUGAGACGGGUAAGCCUUGCUGAGUAUUAGUAUACUCAGCCUUGCUUUUGUUGAUUUACUUCAGGUAAUCUCCCUGAUGAGCCAGCAUUCAUUACACCGUGGCCCUACCCCCUGCCUGAUGGUUGGUCCAUGGAGUGGGAUCCAUCCCCGGCCAACACAGAUUCCGCCGAGUGAUAUCGUGCCAGGGCUAGCACGAUAUCCAUAAUAACGACGUGUACAGUGUUCGUGUUUUCAAACUCCGCUGCUGUGACUUAAAACUUAAACCGUUUUGUAAUAAUGUCCCUCGCUGGACACUAAUGUUAUUUUUGUAUGCAUAUGUAAUAUAUCUGUCUGUGA
rnacentral:lncRNA from 1 species